rnacentral:tRNA from 1 species
GCGGUCGUGGCGGAACUGGUAGACGCGCAGCGUUGAGGUCGCUGUCCGGCAACGGGUGGAGGUUCAAGUCCUCUCGACCGCACCA